AUGCAGAAUCGAGUACAUCCUGCCGGAGCCUCGUCCUCUGCCUCCAGCGGCGGAGACGGCUCUGGUUCAGGCUUCUGCCUCAGUGAUAUAAUGGAAAUCGAAGCUGGCAGCGGGGGAGACCACAAAGCACCGGGCUCCCCGAGGUCCAAGCAUUCCGCUACCGAGCAGAGACGUCGCUGCAAAAUCAAUGAGAGAUUUCAGAUACUCCGUGAUCUUGUACCACAAAGUGACCAGAAGAGAGAUAAGGCCACAUUCCUUUUGGAGGUGAUUGAAUAUGUCAAAUUCUUACAAGAAAAGGUACAAAACCAUGAAGCAUGUGCUGGUGGAGACUGGAACCAAGAAAAUACAAAAUUGGCGCCUUGGAGUAGCAACCGAGUACCAGUUGACCUCAUGCCAGGUGUAGCAGCACCCACAACAAAAAAUUGCUCUGCUGGGAACUUUCUGGACAACAGUAUCCCCACCAUGCCAGAAAUGCUGCAAAAUGCUGAAACGGUAGUAGAACCAGCCAAGUUAAAUGCAGAUAUUAUAGAAUCACAGUACCAGUCCCAAUGGCAAGAUUGCCUUGUGGACAGUGAAAUGAGCAAUGAAAAAGAAGAAUUGACUAUAGAUGAGGGUACCAUAACUGUUUCCAGCGUGUACUCCCAAAACCUAUUUACGGCUUUGACUAAUGCAAUGGAAAAUUUGGGCAUCGAUUUGUCACAAGCCAGUGUCACCGUGCACGUCAAUCUGGGCAGGAGAGCAAUUUCCAGGUCUAAUAAUAUAUCCAGUGCAAAGAAAGACAUGCCAGCCGCAAACUAA
rnacentral:rRNA from 1 species